UACGUAGGGUGCGAGCGUUAAUCGGAAUUACUGGGCGUAAAGCGUGCGCAGGCGGUUUUGUAAGCCAGAUGUGAAAUCCCCGGGCUUAACUUGGGAAUGGCAUUUGGGACUGCAAGGCUGGAGUGCGGCAGAGGAGACUGGAAUUCCUGGUGUAGCAGUGAAAUGCGUAGAUAUCAGGAGGAAUACCGAUGGCGAAGGCAGGUCUCUGGGCUGACACUGACGCUCAUGCACGAAAGCGUGGGGAGCAAACAGG
rnacentral:rRNA from 1 species